GAUGCAAUAAUGAAAGGUGUUAUACGUUGGCAACUUCUCGCUCUAAUCCGCCAUCUUGAACUACCUUAGGAGAAACUGUGUUGUUUCUUUGCUAUUUUCACUGAACAUUUCCCAAAAUAUUAGAAAAAAAUUCUGAACAAGCUACAUUGAUUCAAUUUUCGUUGUUCGUUUUGUUCUUAUUCGCUGACAUUUGUUUUCCAAUUGCGUGAAAUUUGGUCAUUUCCUUAGUGUUUCGCUGACCGACCUGUGCUGGUAUUGUGAUUAAGAGCUAAUACACAUUUUUCGGACGAUUCUGCUGUGCUGCGUUCCUGCUCCGCCUGUAUAUUGCUCCGCCCGUAUUUUAUAGUGUUGCGUUCCUGUUGCGCCUUUGCAUUAGUGUGUGCGUUGUGAUUUAGACACGUUGAAAUUUUUUGUAUGCUUCUGCUGUGCUGCGUUCCUGCUCCACCCGUGUAUUAGAUUGCUGCGUUCCUGUUAACAUACAUAUCGUCGCUUAAAGUACAAAACCGCGUAACUGACAUUUGCUGCUAAAAAUUGGAUUCGCUCACACACGUUUUUGGAUCAAUCCUUAUCCAUUCUUCCUGAAAUAUACUAGCCAAAAAUGCGAUUGCUUUUUACAAAAAGAUAACCAUUUUGAAAUAUGAGUGUUUUUACUCUCUAGAAAUUAAUUUAUGCAACCUCGCAUACGUGGGUUUGCAUUAUCUCUAUACGCGGUUUUGCAAUUUAUUGAUACAUGGUUUUGUACUUUAAACGACGAUAUGUAUGUAGAUGUAUGUACAUGUAUAUCACAUAUAUUGACUUAGAUAUGUAUACACAAUUAAUGGUGUACAUAAAUUUUUUUAUAUUGAAACUAGAUAUGUAUAUAGUACAUAUUUUAUUAUUAUUAGUCGGUUCAAAAAAGUCCUAUCUCAAAUAAAAAUACUUCGAAAAUGUGCUGAGAUAGGGUGUUUUUGAACCGAGUUCCGAGAUAGGGCAUUUUUCAAUCAAAUUCUAAAAUAGGGCGUUUUUCAGCCAAAUUUUGAAAUAGGGCGUUGAAAAGCUUUCUGAUAUCGGGCGUUUUCGACCUGGCUGCCGAGAUAGGUCGAUCUUCUACUCAGCCAUCGAUAUAUGGUCGAAGUUUUCGUUAUAUGGAAGACGAUUAAACACGAUUUGUUUUUAAUCGAUUCUAAAAAAACUAAGGUAAUUUUUAGCCACUUCAAACUUGCAUAUAAU